rnacentral:rRNA from 1 species
AUUGAACGCUAGCGGGAUGCCUUACACAUGCAAGUCGAACGGCAGCACGGACUUCGGUCUGGUGGCGAGUGGCGAACGGGUGAGUAAUGUAUCGGAACGUGCCCAGUAGCGGGGGAUAACUACUCGAAAGAGUAGCUAAUACCGCAUACGCCCUACGGGGGAAAGGGGGGGAUCGCAAGACCUCUCACUAUUGGAGCGGCCGAUAGCGGAUUAGCUAGUUGGUGGGGUAAAGGCCCACCAAGGCGACGAUCCGUAGCUGGGUUGAGAGGACGACCAGCCACACUGGGACUGAGACACGGCCCAGACUCCUACGGGAGGCAGCAGUGGGGAAUUUUGGACAAUGGGGGCAACCCUGAUCCAGCCAUCCCGCGUGUGCGAUGAAGGCCUUCGGGUUGUAAAGCACUUUUGGCAGGAAAGAAAUCGCAUGGGUUAAUACCCUGUGUGGAUGACGGUACCUGCAGAAUAAGCACCGGCUAACUACGUGCCAGCAGCCGCAGUAA